UUUCUCAUUUUUCCAAUAUUAAAUUUUUGAUAAAAAUGAAAAUAUUAUAAAUAAGCAUAAUUUGACUUGUUUGAAUUUUUUAAAAAAAUUGAGAAUCUCAAGGCGUAUUAAUUAAAACGGGUGCAAAAUACCUUGCCGGAAAACAGUCAAACACCUUCAAAGAUGCCCUGUUCUUGUUCUGAAAGAUUACAGAGAGAAAGGUUUAAUUGAGUUGCUAAAGACGAACAGAAAUGUAGGCACGCCAACUGUUUGAUGAAAUGCGAAAGAGAGGUUUAACUGAGGUGUUUAAGAUGAACAGAAACGUAUGCACACAAACUGUUUGAUGAAAUGCCAAAGAGAGGAAGUAUAACGUUCAAAAGCCCAAUCCAACACAACCGGGACUUCUUGUUUGGUUCUCUUUUCCACGGUGCCAUUAGUCGUCAAAUCAGAAGCUCCACCAAAGCUGAAGUUGCCAACUUUAGCAAAGAACGCGUAGCUACAAUAUUCAGCAGGAUUUGAUAAUGUCUUCUGCAACUUGACUCUGAAGAAUACUUCUCCUGUAGAACUUGAGUUGCAUCCCGCUCUUGGUUGCAAGAAAUUUUAUCAGAAGAAAACCACCAACCAACAAGGAGCAGAAGUAUUGUUCCCAAGGAUAUGCCUAAUCCUGCAAUUCACAAACAAACACAUUUGGAAAUUCAUUAUGCUGAUUACCAAAGAAACAGAACAGACUGGUACAUAAUGAAAAAAUUUCUCAAAAGAUAAACAGACUGAGAGAUUACCAAGAGUGAUUUUCUUGAGGGUUGACGAGCUCUUAUCCGGAUUCCGUACGCAACCACUCCCAGACUUUUGUCCAUCGCCAGAAUAACCUCGAGGGCAAGAGCAUCUGUAGCCCCCCACAGUGUUAACACAAGCCGUGGUACAUGGAUUAUUCGUACCAGCAGCGCACUCAUUGAUGUCUAUACAAAAGUUAAGAUGAAAAUGAAGUUCCUUGUUAAGAAUAAAAUUGAAAAUUUCUAGACCGGAUCAUCUUGAGCCCGCUCCUAAAAUAGCGGAUUCUGGGCAGAUUUCAGGCCCGUUCUGACCCGGCCCGAUUUUAGUUUGACCCGAAAAUGAUCCAAAACCCCCGCUAUUAUUAGACCAAUAUAGCGGGUUUUGGGCACAAAAAACGGCAGAAAGUUUGACCUGGCCCCACAAUGGGCUUAUUUUGGUCAUGGCCCAGCCCAAACGUGGCCUUCCGUGAAGGCAGGUCGGCUUGGGUUCGGGCCACGACCAAAUUUUUUUGCCCAUCAUGUUGGGCAAUGCCAAAAGUCCGGGCAGUUUUUUUUCUACCCAAAACCCGCUAUUUUGGGACAUUUUCGGAUUGGGUCAAGUGUAUAACUAAAAUUCAAGUUUGAGUUGCCCAAAACCCACCAAGAAAAUAUAACCGGGCCUAAAAUUUCUGCCCCAAUACCAGCUUUUUUCGGGCCGAGCCGGCCAGCGGGUCGGGCUCAAGAUGAUCAGUUUUAUUCGAAAUUUUCUAUUCAUCAAGUAAAAAUGACAAACACUAACUCUGCCUAUGCUGUAACUUAACCAUACCUUUGCAACCAGAUUGAAGAUAAGGAUUUCCCUCGUAGCCACGGAGGCAGCGGCAACGGUAUCCCAUAUAAGUAUCAAAACAUUCAGUAUUAGACUGACAAAAGUACGGAUUAUCAGUCGAAUUCAUCUGUUUCGCCUCUCUGCAGGAAGUAUUCAGUUGAAUGUUCCAAUCCAGCACAAUAGGAACUUCCUGCAAGAUUCUAUUCUGAACAACACCACCAGCACCUGUUAUAUCAGAAGUCCCACCAAAUUCAAAGCUCCCAUUCCGUGCAAAGAACGCGUAGCUACAAGUUGGCUGGUCAGCAUAUGGGCGGCCAAUGCCGUCGUGCAAGCUCGAAAGCCGUACUGAUAACUCUUGCCAACCAGCUGCUAAAAUGGGUGUUUCACAACAACCCGAACCCAAACACGAACCUCUUGUAACCGCUUCUGUAUUGCACAGAGCAAUGCAACCAGCCGAUUCUAAGGUCGCACUCACGCCUUGACCUUCUAGAAGUGCGUACUCAUCACAGCCGAUAACUGUAAGUCUGUUUUCAGUCGAUACACUAAACGGAGACCCGAUCAUGUCUAAGUUCCCGGGUAUUUCAGAGGUCACAUUCCCCUCCGAAUCAUAGCAACGUGAGGUUACAGCAUUGUUUCGGAUAGUUAUUUGGGUUUCGGUUAUAUCCAAGAUGUCGGUAAAGUCACUACCGUAUUGUGAUACAGGUAUGGCUCUUGGUGGAUUGUAAGAGGUGUUGCAGAUGAUAGCGUACGCUUCCUCGAGGUAGCAGUUAUGACCAAUGCCAAAGGGGUAUGGGAUUGUUAGGUUGCCACAUUUCUGUUGGCAGCCGGGUUUGGUGGUGUUUGCAGCUGUGAUCAUGUUUUUGGGUGUUAUCGAAGCGGUGGUGACAACCAAUGUGGUUGCAACCAUUGCCAGAAAGAGGAGAUGAUGCCAUGGAAGAAGAUGCAUGUUUUGCAAUUUUGAGUUCAUUUCAGAAACUUAUGAUUAUAAUACCCAGAUAAAUUAUUACUAAAAUAAGUAAGCAAAGAAGACUUUGAAUGAUUUGAUGAGUUCCCACAUAAGCAGCCGCCACCAGAAGUGCUAGGAAACAGGGAUUGGGCCUUGGGAAGACCGCAGAUUGGAUUGUAUAAUAAAGAAUAAGAUUGUGAUGUAUUAGGCGAGGUGUAAUUAGUUGAUUUUUUUUUUCUUUUUUAGUUUAAAUUUUUGGCAGUAGAACUAGAAACUAGAAAGCGGUGAUAUUUCAAUCUUAUUACAUUAUUAUUUAAAUUCAAAUGCACGCGAUGCGUGAUUGGAA